AUUAAGAAGUUUUAAAAAAUCAACAUCAGUGACUAAGAUGUAUCUAAAAUCCUGGAAGACAGAGAGUGUGUCUAUUUUCUGUGUACACCCUACAUGGUAAUUACAACAUGGACCAGCUCUGCAGACAACAACAUGGGCAAGAACCAACUAUAUGAGAAGUCAAAAGACAAAGCACCAACUGGGAGAAAAUGCCUGCAACGUACUUGCUGGAGGAAGACAUUCAAGGGGUGACUUGCAUCUCGAGGAUUUGUGAGCUUGUUUCGCAGAAGAAAGAGAAGGCCUUCGGGGAGGCUGUGCUCUGGCCCUCAGCAGCCUUGAAGGCCAGAAGUCAGACUGCCCAGGGGCUUAUUGGGAGGGACCCUUUGUUUCUCUGAAGCUCCUCCUACCGAGCCCCUUAGCUCGAUAAACCCUCCUGCUUUCUGCUCUCGGGAUGGUGGAUUUGACUGAACCCAUGCUCCCACCUUCUCGUUUGGCCAAUUCAAAUAAACCUUUCUCAG